AUGCUUUUAUUAUACAAAGUAAUUUUAACUUCCAAUUAAAGAGUCCUAUUUAGGAAAGCAUA
rnacentral:tRNA from 1 species